UACGAAGGGUGCAAACGUUGCUCGGAAUUAUUGGGCGUAAAGCGCACGUAGGCGGCUCUGCAAGUCGGAUGUGAAAUCCCUCGGCUCAACCAAGGAAGUGCAUCCGAAACUGCGGAGCUUGAGUACUUAAGAGGAUCGCGGAAUUCCCGGUGUAGAGGUGAAAUUCGUAGAUAUCGGGAGGAACACCAGUGGCGAAGGCGGCGAUCUGGGAAGAUACUGACGCUGAAGUGCGAAAGCGUGGGGAGCAAACAGG
rnacentral:rRNA from 1 species